CCCCUCUUCAGCCACCACGCGUUACAUAUCUCUACGCGCAAUAUCGUAGCAAUCGGUGAAGUAUUCGACGAGAGACACGCUGCAUCUCUGGCUUUAGCGGCUUUUCUAACGCAUCAAAGGUGCCAUCGUCGCGAACGAAAAAAGUCCGGCGCCAGAAAACCAAACGGAAUACACACGUAGAACGGAGAAAGUUUCCCGUACGAGUCAUGCAUAAGUGCGGGGGAAUCGCUAAAGACGACGGAUGCGCAAUGUACGAACGUUGCGCAAUAUCCGUUCUACUAAAGUCGUCGAUUGUAGAAGAAAUGAAACCGCGCAUGAUUAUGUUAUAAUUGUACCAAAACUAAGAGUUAUAUCUCCGUUAAACUGAUUAUUUUCUCUCUUAUGCCGGAAUAAUAAUAAACGUUGAAAUUUUU